rnacentral:rRNA from 1 species
UAAUUGAAGAGUUUGAUCAUGGCUCAGAUUGAACGCUGGCGGCAGGCCUAACACAUGCAAGUCGAGCGGUAACAGGGGAAGCUUGCUUCUCGCUGACGAGCGGCGGACGGGUGAGUAAUGUAUGGGGAUCUGCCCGAUAGAGGGGGAUAACUACUGGAAACGGUAGCUAAUACCGCAUAAUCUCUCAGGAGCAAAGCAGGGGAACUUCGGUCCUUGCGCUAUCGGAUGAACCCAUAUGGGAUUAGCUAGUAGGUGAGGUAAUG